CAGGAUGGACGCUAGCUACAGGCUUAACACAUGCAAGUCGAGGGGCAUCAGGAAGAAAGCUUGCUUUCUUUGCUGGCGACCGGCGCACGGGUGAGUAACACGUAUCCAACCUGCCCUUUACUCGGGGAUAGCCUUUCGAAAGAAAGAUUAAUACCCGAUAGCAUAAUGAUUCCGCAUGGUUUCAUUAUUAAAGGAUUCCGGUAAAGGAUGGGGAUGCGUUCCAUUAGGUUGUUGGUGAGGUAACGGCCCACCAAGCCUUCGAUGGAUAGGGGUUCUGAGAGGAAGGUCCCCCACAUUGGAACUGAGACACGGUCCAAACUCCUACGGGAGGCAGCAGUGAGGAAUAUUGGUCAAUGGGCGCUAGCCUGAACCAGCCAAGUAGCGUGAAGGAUGAAGGCUCUAUGGGUCGUAAACUUCUUUUAUAUAAGAAUAAAGUGCAGUAUGUAUACUGUUUUGUAUGUAUUAUAUGAAUAAGGAUCGGCUAACUCCGUGCCAGCAGCCGCGGUAAUACGGAGGAUCCGAGCGUUAUCCGGAUUUAUUGGGUUUAAAGGGAGCGUAGGUGGACUGGUAAGUCAGUUGUGAAAGUUUGCGGCUCAACCGUAAAAUUGCAGUUGAUACUGUCAGUCUUGAGUACAGUAGAGGUGGGCGGAAUUCGUGGUGUAGCGGUGAAAUGCUUAGAUAUCACGAAGAACUCCGAUUGCGAAGGCAGCUCACUGGACUGCAACUGACACUGAUGCUCGAAAGUGUGGGUAUCAAACAGGAUUAGAUACCCUGGUAGUCCACACAGUAAACGAUGAAUACUCGCUGUUUGCGAUAUACAGUAAGCGGCCAAGCGAAAGCAUUAAGUAUUCCACCUGGGGAGUACGCCGGCAACGGUGAAACUCAAAGGAAUUGACGGGGGCCCGCACAAGCGGAGGAACAUGUGGUUUAAUUCGAUGAUACGCGAGGAACCUUACCCGGGCUUAAAUUGCAGUGGAAUGAUGUGGAAACAUGUCAGUGAGCAAUCACCGCUGUGAAGGUGCUGCAUGGUUGUCGUCAGCUCGUGCCGUGAGGUGUCGGCUUAAGUGCCAUAACGAGCGCAACCCUUAUCUUUAGUUACUAACAGGUUAUGCUGAGGACUCUGGAGAGACUGCCGUCGUAAGAUGUGAGGAAGGUGGGGAUGACGUCAAAUCAGCACGGCCCUUACGUCCGGGGCUACACACGUGUUACAAUGGGGGGUACAGAAGGCAGCUACCUGGUGACAGGAUGCUAAUCCCAAAAGCCUCUCUCAGUUCGGAUCGAAGUCUGCAACCCGACUUCGUGAAGCUGGAUUCGCUAGUAAUCGCGCAUCAGCCACGGCGCGGUGAAUACGUUCCCGGGCCUUGUACACACCGCCCGUCAAGCCAUGGGAGCCGGGGGUACCUGAAGUACGUAACCGCAAGGAUCGUCCUAGGGUAAAACUGGUGACUGGGG
rnacentral:rRNA from 1 species